rnacentral:lncRNA from 1 species
UUUUCAGACCCAGGGCAGCUGUUCAGCAAAUGGGCUUCUGCCAGCCAGGAGAGAAAGAGGAAGAAAGAAUUCAGCCAUGAGGGUUCAGGAGAUCCCAUGGGAAAAACACGCGGAGCAGAGAGAAGCAGAUCUAAUUCGAGUUAAACCGGAAUGGCCUUAGCCAGAAAACAAGAUGGAGGAACCUGUGCAUCAUCUUGCCCUUUUAUAACAUAGAGUCACGCUGAACAAGGACAUCCGAGGCUCCCAUGCACAGCUUGCGCUCCAAGCCCUGCAAUGCCCCGCCCACACGUGAAGCUCACGGCAUCACAUAAGAGUACUCGGUACACCAGGAGGGCGCCCUCAGAGAGGAGAAACCACUGGUCGAGGACGGAGGCAGGGGCACCCGCGUGUGCCUGAUGGUGUACCACAAACAGUGAUGGGUGGUGCCAAGUGUAUAGAUGCCUCACUGCAGUACGACUUUGAGCACAGUAGCUGGGACAGCUUCCACCAAGGCCUGAGGCCCUGCUGGCAUGUCUCAGCCCAGUAGCCUUAAAUCCCACUGUCUCCAGACAUGCUGUGCGGGCACAUGGCUAAGUGGGCAUGGCAGAGCCAGCCUGGCCUCAAGACGUGCGGUGUGUGCUGUGGCUUCCUCGGUACCACAGCGCCUGCUCUCUCCCUCCUCAGGCAUUUGCUGAACAGCUUGCCUGGGUCUGUUAA